UAGGACGUGUGGUUCUAUUUUGUUGGUUUCUAGGACCGCCGUAAUGAUUAAUAGGGACAGUCGGGGGCAUCAGUAUUCAAUUGUCAGAGGUGAAAUUCUUGGAUUUAUUGAAGACUAACUACUGCGAAAGCAUUUGCCAAGGAUGUUUUCAUUAAUCAGGAACGAAAGUUAGGGGAUCGAAGACGAUCAGAUACCGUCGUAGUCUUAACCAUAAACUAUGCCGACUAGGGAUCGGACGGUGUUAUAUUUUGACCCGUUCGGCACCUUACGAGAAAUCAAAGUGCUUGGGCUCCAGGGGGAGUAUGGUCGCAAGGCUGAAACUUAAAGAAAUUGACGGAAGGGCACCACCAGGGGUGGAGCCUGCGGCUUAAUUUGACUCAACACGGGGAAACUCACCAGGUCCAGACACAAUGAGGAUUGACAGAUUGAGAGCUCUUUCUUGAUUUUGUGGGUGGUGGUGCAUGGCCGUUCUUAGUUGGUGGAGUGAUUUGUCUGCUUAAUUGCGAUAAC
rnacentral:rRNA from 1 species